rnacentral:tRNA from 1 species
AGCGGGGUAGAGUAGCUUGGAGUGCUCGUCGGACAGUGCAAAAGAUUUAUUUUGUGCUGGGCAAAGCUCAUAACCCGAAGAUCGUUGGUUCAAAGCGAAUCACGCGACGCGUGGUUUGGGGAAACUCCAACUCCCGCUA